ACCAAUUAUCAUUAAAACACACCAAAAGCCCAAAUAAAAAGGUACGAUAAAGUGUAAAAAUAUACACUUAACACACCCCCAAACUUGAACUAUUGCUUGUCAUCAAGCAAAUAACUCAACUAUUACAUCUCAUCACAUAGAUCAAUGAUCAACUUCACGUUUUCAGAACUUGUAAUUAUAAUGACAAUUCUUAGGCAUUCGCAAGCUCAAAAUUCAACAACACUUAGUCACUCACCAUUACAAAAAACCACAAUUCAUACAAUUGCUUCAAGCAUCCAAUAUUUGCAAAUUAAAGAUAGAAAGAAUUUAUACUUACAUGCAUAUGCUUGACUCCAAAUACUCACCAAAUUAUUCUACUCUACUAAUAUCGAACAUUAAGCUAUUGGGAUCAUUGGGGCUUUGUGGCUUUCAAUUGUUAGGCUCUUUGGUUCGAGGUAGGAAAUAUGGGUAUGUGUGGCUAUUCUUCUUGAAUUUAGGUGAUCACGCCAAAAUUUUAAAGAUAGGCGUUUGAAACAAUGAAUUCACCUCUACGGACUUUAAUAAACUCGAUUCACAAAAGUUCAAAAGUCUCCACUUUUGCUUUUGAG
rnacentral:lncRNA from 1 species